rnacentral:sRNA from 1 species
UACUAUUUUAUCUUUUGGUUCGCUCCUGCUCGCAACAAUCAUUCGGUAUCUCAAAUAAGGAUUGAAAACAAAUUUAUCAACAAAAUAGGUUCUAGUUAAUUGGUUUACCACCACGAGGGAUUGAAGGUCGAAUGGCGGCUCGCUUCUUCAUGCGAUAGGUCAAGCUCCUUCAAAGCAUCAUUAACUUGACCCUUUUUUCAUACCAUCAUUCGUACCAUUGAUAACAACCUUCUCCUGUUGGGCAGAAACACAAAUGAAAACCCUCACCUUUUCGUCACCGGCCGAGUUGGGAAAGCAGAAGAAUUACCGAUGAUAUGAUGAACCUGAAAGUGGUCUGGAUGUUGAACAAUGAGCUUAUCUUUCUCUUCACGAAGCGCCAAAGGAAGAUUGG